rnacentral:lncRNA from 1 species
AGUGGUUUAUAGUCCCAUUAACAUUUAAUGAGGGCUCCACUUUCCCCGCAGCAGGCGUGUGCUGCUGUUACUGGUCUUUGCCACUUUGAUUGAGGUAAGAAAACCUCAGAGUUGUUUUGAUUUGAUUCACAUAAUUAUCAGGGCUGGUGAACAAACGUUUUUUGAGAGAAUCUUUUUAGAGAUAUUUCUUAGCCAUUGUUUUCUUUCAGAGUGAAGGGCCCAAGUGUUGAGUUCUUUGGAUACUGUGGAUAUUAUAUUUCUGUCAGGUGUAUAGGUGAGCAUGGAUGGCAUGUGUUGUUCUCAUCUGACCACAGUGGCACUGUGACCCGAUACCCUGGCAUGCAUGCCAUGGUAGACUAUACUUUUAACUGUGAGCUAAUGUACACUCUUCCUUCUUUAAGUGGCAUUACCACCUCAGCCUACUAAGUGAAAGAAUUUUGAAAAAGAAAAAUCUCAGUCAGGUGGGAACGGGUCUAAUGGCAAGGUAGCUUGCCUCUUAAGAACUCUUCAACACAAAUACUUUAAGUAAGUAUUCAUGCAAGGACUUACUUAACAAGAGAGUCUGUUACAUCUUUGCGAUUUAUUUCUGAUAUGUGAGGGAUAGCAUUUCUCCAUUUUGAAGCACAUAGUUUUCAAGAUAUUACUUUAGAAGCAGGGACUCUGCUUUCACCAUGAACUAGCCAGUUUCAGGAACCAUAAUAAAAAUUAAUUUCUGACUAUUAUGUUUUUUCCCCAAAUUCAUAGCAGCACAAAAUUACUAAGUCAUUCAUUGUUCGUGUCUCCCUCAUCUUACUAGGGGGAUUUUGGAUGAUUUUAUGAUCAAACAGAUCUAAGAGUAUAUCUUAGUGAUGUUUCUGGGAAACGUUUAUUUUUCUUGGUGACUAAAAGCAGAGAGCUCUGAUCUUUGAUUCGACUGCCAGUUUCAUUUACCAAUUCUGCCUGGAGCAAGCCUCCUACCCUACAAAACUCAUCUCCUGUGACCUUCUAGCCUGAGUCAAGCUGGGAUCGUCAUUGCUCUGUGUUCUCUCCCUUUGGACCAGGGUCUGCGGUGCAGGAGAUGGAAAUCUCUGCUGCUAUCAGAAUGAGUUGUGAAAGUUCUUAUGAGGAGGAGGAAAUGGUUACUGCAGGAGACUCAUCACUGAUGAAACUGGAAUAGGUUACUCUUUCUGUAAUGGGGGUACUAUUUCUGUAGUAUGGUAGCCCAAUGCUCACUCACUCAAUAAAGGACUAUACAAAUACCAGCUGACAUUCAAGAACCUGGACACGUCAUAGAGGAAAAUCAGAGGAAAGGCAUGGCUAUAAACCCACAGUGACCAACAGCGACAAAUAGCACUAUUCAAAAAUGAUGAAAAGCCCACUUCUUUGUUAAGCUGAUUACAUAACAGUUUCGUGUGCUAGAGACAAACAAUGCUUAUUUUAGGUCUCAUCAACAUAGUUUCUUCCACUUGACCUGAUAAUUGUCUGACAGGUGGUCACAAGACCAUAUCACUAUAACCUCAGUUAACAUGUAUACCUCAAAUGGAUUGCAUUGACCUUUCACACUUUCUUCUAUCAGGAAGAAAUUAGAAACUUCAACUUAAUGACAGCAUAUAGGAAAGAACCCAUGAAAAGUUAGAGAAAAAAGAGAUGAAGAAAGCAAAGAGUAAAUAUAAAAUAAGGAAGACACAAGCAAUAUUCUUCGAAGAUCCGUAUGGUCUCAUAAAGGAGUAUAUCAUGAUAUACUUUAUUAUACAACAAAGUUCUAUUAAAAAGAUAGUGUGGAUUUACUUUCUUCUGCUUAUAAUCAACAGAGCAUUCCUUUAAGAAUUUUUGUUAUACACAUAUGCUGGGAAGGCCAAUUGCAGGGUGCGUGGUGUCUGCAU